AGUAACACGUGGCCAAGCUCCCCUUCAGUCAGCGAUACCCUCGGGAAACUGAGGUUAACAGCUGAUACAAAACGCCAGCUGGAAUGCGGCGUUUCAGAAAGACAUCGCUGAAGGAUGCGGCUGCGGCCGAUUAGGUAGACGGUGGGGUAACGGCCCACCGUGCCAGUAAUCGGUACGGGUGAUGAGAGUCAGAGCCCGGAGACGGAAUCUGAGACAAGAUUCCGGGCCCUACGGGGCGCAGCAGGCGCGAAACCUUUACACUGCACGGAAGUGCGAUAGGGGAAUCCUAAGUGCGAGGGCAUAUUAGCCCUCGCUUUUCUCGACUGUAAGGUGGUCGACGAAUAAGAGCUGGGCAAGACCGGUGCCAGCCGCCGCGGUAAUACCGGCAGCCCAAGUGAUGGCCGAUCUUAUUGGGCCUAAAGCGUCCGUAGCUGGCCGCGCAAGUCCAUCGGAAAAUCCACCCGCCCAACGGGUGGGCGUCCGGUGGAAACUGCGUGGCUUGGGACCGGAAGGCGCGACGGGUACGUCCGGGGUAGGAGUGAAAUCCCGUAAUCCUGGACGGACCGCCGAUGGCGAAAGCACGUCGCGAAGACGGAUCCGACAGUGAGGGACGAAAGCUAGGGUCUCGAGCCGGAUUAGAUACCCCGGUAGUC
rnacentral:rRNA from 1 species